rnacentral:rRNA from 1 species
AUUGAACGCUGGCGGCAGGCCUAACACAUGCAAGUCGAACGAGUGGCGGACGGGUGAGUAAUGUCUGGGAAACUGCCUGAUUGAGGGGGAUAACUACUGGAAACGGUCGCUACUACCGCAUACCAUCGGAUGUGCCCAGAUGGGAUUAGCUAGUAGGUGGGGUAAAGGCUCACCUAGGCGACGAUCCCUAGCUGGUCUGAGAGGAUGACAAGCAACACUGGAACUGAGACACGGCCCAGACGCCUACGGGAGGCAGCAGUGGGGAAUAUUGCACAAUGGGCGAAAGCCUGAUGCAGCCAUGCCGCGUGUAUGAAGAAGGCCUUCGGGUUGUAAAGUACUUUCAGCGGGGAGGCGGUACCCGCAGAAGAAGCACCGGCUAACUCCGUGCCAGCAGCCGCGGUAAUAC